UUUGUCUCUCUGUCUCCGGCUUAUUUCACUUAACAUAACGUCCUCCAGUUCCAUCCACGUUGUCACAAGUGAUAGGAUUUCGCCCUUUCUAAUGGUGACACAGUCACAAGUCUCCAUGUGGCUGGAAGGAGGCUGAGAAAUGAGUCUCUGGCUGAGCAACCCUGACUCCAGAUACAACUUCAUCACAGAAACAAAAGGAGAGUGAAUUUUGGAGGACAGUCAACAGCUUCCACCACAUGGUGUGUUUACUUUGUCCAUCUGCUUCAACUAACACUAAAAGUAGCAUAAAACCACGAUACUGGCCAGUUGCUUGAGUGUCUGCAAUGUGUUCCUGCCAUUUCACCUACACACUCUCUAAUCCUUCCAAGAAACUCAUGAAAUAGGUAUUAUUACCAAUGACAGACCAGAGACCCUGAGAAUCUGCACGACUUGCCCGAGGCCACACAGCCAAUUAUAAUUGAUCAUGAUGCUAUUUGUACCCAAGUCCAUAUGGCUUCAAAACCAGCUCUUUCCCCAAUAAAUAAAAUAUCUCUUUGCCCUACUUUUUCCCUCUUUAGGGCUUUUUUCUUUGAACUUCUCUUCCCCACAACAGUUAAAUCAUCCAUUUAAAGAUGUCAAACAAUCUCCACAUUGAAAGGUGAGUUGUCAGAUUUUAUUUGGUUCACCUCGUCGACCACUUCUCUGUUUAUUCCUUCUUCUAACCUCUUCCUUUUCCAAAGCUGAGAGUAAAUAAAACUAGCUAUUCCAAUCUCAGCAAAAACAUCUUAUACAUCAUUUGAGAGGAAAAUAUUUGUAUAUUGGUUGGCAGUGAUUAGUAUGCCAUAAAGUUAUAAGAAUAGAAGAAUGCUAACAAUUGUAGCAAAAUUAACAAAUCCGGUCUCCCUGAGUAAAGUGAACUCCGUACUGACUCUCUAAUCUGCCUUUUUAGUAUGCUAUUUUAAUCUUUAAUCUUCCAAUUAAUCCUACAUAUUCAUGGAGGUAAUCCCUACAUGUUUCCUGUAUUAGUCGGACAAUUCGCUGUCAUCAUCACCAAAGCCUACAGUCACCCAGAAGAAGCCAAAAGGGCCUAUCAUCACUUUUAUCCAGACUGGGAUUUCCUUCCAUCUCUGAAACUCCAGCUUGCCUGCUUUGCAUCCAUUUGGGACUGGAAGUAAGAAAAACGUUAUAAUAAUCUUUUCACCGAAAUCUCUUCCAUAGUAGAACUUAACAUUCUUGCAGAAAUGCAGGCUCAGUCCUGUACUUUUCACUAUCCUCCAUUUUCUCAGAAUUUACAUUGCUUUCAGACAUUCAAUCUGUGGGGAAAAGAACAUCCUUCUAUUUUCCAUUACCAGAAUGUGUCCUUCUUCCCUUAGGACAAUAACUGCUGUUCACAUUCCUCCAAAAGUCUGCAGUUAAAACCGUGAUCACCGAGUAAGCUGUUAUCUUCUAUCCGUUUCUCAUUUAUACACAAUGUGACUUCACUCUCUUACUACAAUUGAUCCUGACCUCUUUCAUCCCUUUUUCCUGACUAUAUUGAAUGCAGCCAAGGCCAAAUAUACUUUUCCUCAUUUUUGCCCACAUUGUCCUGUGAGUCUUAGUGUGAUCUCCCCACUGGUAUCUCCCCAGUGAAUUUUUCUUAAUAAAAAAAUUUGAUACUUCUUAAAAAAUAUUAACCUGCUUAGGUUAAAAAAAACAUAAUCUCCAUUAGCUAUUCAUAUUCAUUCAGCUAUAUGAAAUAUACCUUUAAAACGGCAUUUCAGAGAAAUAAAAAAGUGAGAACGCUACACAUCCAGGUAUUUACACAUGUGAUCCGCUCUGUAAAAUCUAACAAUAAAAAUAUCUUCAUAGAUAAAUAGGAUUGCAUCCUUCACAAUAAAAUAUUUGCUUUUUAGGAUAAAAGGAAAGAACGGCAAGUUCAUAUGCUAGUCAUAAAUAAAUACAUAUUUAAUCAGAGGAAAACAGCAAGUCACUUUUUCUAGCUCUUUAAAAAUAUUUUAAUGGAGAAAAAUCACCAUAAUGUACUCUUGCACAAUGCUAAAAUGUUGCCUAAUUUGAAGUGGCUUUUAUUAGUUUUACAGGAUGUAUAUUCAGCAAUAGUUAUGAAUAUUAAAAAAUAAUCACUUUAAAGGAACUCUUAACUCUAUUACAUUAGAAACAAUGUUAAAAUACAGCAGUAAGCAACAGAAACUAUUGCUCCUUUACAUUUUGGCAAAACACUGCCAUAAAGUUACAGAAUUAUAAAAUAAGCAUUUUAUAGUACCAUACAGAUCCAGAAACUGGUUACAACUUCUACCACAUACACAUGGUAUUGGUACUAACAAACAUGCGUGGCAUUCUGCAAUUCGUACUGCGGUUGAAUACAGAACACGGAGAAUGCCCACGGGCCACCAGAGGGUCAGAGCUUAUGUGAUAAGUAAAGCACCCAUCUUUGUAACAAUCAUACCCAUUUUCUGGAACUAUUUAAAAUACAAAGGGCACAAUAGCUUUCAAAUUGCAAUAGUGACUAGACCCAGUCUUCCAUCUAUCUUUUUAGGGAAAACUAACAAAAGCAGAUCUCUUAUUUGGGAACCAAAUAAAAGCCCCCUUUUACAAAGGUGGGCAGAGAACGGGUAUCAAAGGACCUAAGAUUUCGCUCUCAUUUCUCUCAAAUGUAAUGCCACACAUUUGGUAUGUGUCAGCCCCUGACAGUGUGGGAGACAGCAUCCUUCUCUUAUCUGUAACCAGUCCCUCCAUUCAACUUCUUGUAGUAAAGCCACAACCUGUGGCUACACACGGGCAAAAAGAGUUGAACUUGGUGUCUUGGUCACUCGAUUACUUCCAUCAGGUUCCUGGAAGGCUUCAAUGUGGAGUAGGUAGAAUUCAUGGUUCGAAUGAGAGUAUUGUUGAGAUCUGUUUCCAAGCCAAUACCUGAUCUCCUUGGCGCAAAUAUAGAGCUGAGUUUUAAAGCACAUCCUCACCACUCAGCUGUUCAAGAUCAUCUUUCACCUGCUUCCAAUAAUUCUGGCACCUGCAUAAACUUGUCAUUGAUCACGUCAUUAUUUUGUGGUGAGUUCCUUAGUACUGUUUCUAAUCUUUUCUUUCAUUUGUGUUUUCACUUUCUUCACAUGAAACUAAAUCUGUUAGCACUGAAAAAAGUUCAUCUGACCCAUGAGUGCAGCACUUAAACAUUUCUUAGGGCCAAAGCUUAUAUACCUAAUAUCCCCAGUUAAUGUAAACUGUCAUACAAACUCCUUUGUAAUUAAAAAAAUGAAAAUAUGAUAAGUAAACUUCAUAGCUUAAGUAUUUUUCCAUAAGGUUCUCUCGGGAAAAAAGACAACUCCUAGCAUAACAAGUGGGCAUUAUUGCCUUUUCUCUGAAUCAUUUUCUAACAAGAAUAUAUAUAUAUAGCUAUGAAUGAACAACCUAAAACAUUUUUUGGCAAAAACAAAUUGUUUUGCCCCUUUUUGGGAACAAAGGGAGAAAUUAGUAUUCCAAUAUGUUUCCCAAGAACGGUAUAAAGAUACAACUAUUAUUUCCAUAGCAAGUGCCCAAUUGUUCACAGUUACCUAAACAACUACAAAAUGGUGGCAAAUAAAUUAUAGCAGAUAUUUUAUGAGAAUUGGUACUCAUCAAAAUCGUGUAUGGAGUCCACAGUGGCCAACAUUCCCCAGAAGUCAGAGGUCACAGGGCCCAACAACCUCAUCAACCACAGGAGUUUCUAAGGACCCAUGACGCCAGUGCAGGGAUGGAGGCCUGCUCCACUUCUCCAAGGCACCCACGCUGAUUCUUACUCACCUCUCCUUCCCUGAACUCUACAUCUAGCCAGAGUUUGGACCAUAACACAGAACACUUAGUUGUAUUCUCCACAUGAAAGUUUUAAUUCAAGAAAACAAACACAUUAAGAGGUUAUUUCCCACAGUUAACUAGAACAGUAAAUGUCACAACAGAAAAAAGAUGACAAAGAACACUUUCUCUAAUCUAGGAAAAAAGCAGGAACAGUGCUUUUUUUUUUUUUUUUUUUGUAGAGACAGAGUCUCACUUUAUGGCCCUCGGUAGAGUGCCGUGGUCUCACACAGCUCACAGCAACCUCCAACUCCUGGGCUUAAGCGAUUCUCUUGCCUCAGCCUCCCGAGUAGCUGGGACUACAGGCGCCUGCCACAACGCCCGGCUAGGAACAGUGCUUUUUAAAUGUUUCUAAUAAGAUACGGCACAAAAGAUUUUAAAAAUUAAUUUCAGAUUCCUCUAACCUUCUACUGGAAUUUAACUUUUAAUAAUUUCUCUAAUAUAAGUCCAUUUUCUGCAGAAGCAGAAGUAAAACACAGACAAAUAUUCCAUGUGGUAACUAAGCAAUGUUUAAAAUGAAAAUUAUAGCAUGCAGAGAAACUAAGAAAAGGUACGAAUAGACGUAACAAACAACAUAGUUCAUCUUCCUUACUCUUAACCCUUCUUGGCAAAUAUAAAACGUGGUUGAAUACUGAACACACUUCUUUAUGAAUUGAUGCUAUUGUCCCAAACAGCAAAUUUCUCCAAAAUGAUAAAGCACCAAAGUAAAUUACAUUAAAAGAAGUGACAUUCACAGUUUAGAAAGUUCCUUAUGACAAGAUUUUACACUGGAUUAAAAAUGUAAACUUCUGAAUGAAAACCAUUUGCAUUCAUUAAGGCACAUCUGGACACCUCCAGGCAUUCAUAUUUAUAACUAUAUUACUUUUAGUUUCAGUAAUAAGGGAUUUCUAAAAACACAGUCUGUCCCUGAACACAGUCUGCUGGGUGGGUUGGACAACCAGAACGUGGGAGAAGCAGGCAAGUACUCACUGUCACCCUAGAGAUGGCCCAGACAAAUCUGUUCCUGUAAUAAACAGUGCAGAAUUCAGAGCUGAAAGCAACCAAUAGAUGCUUGUAUAGUCCUCGUUUUCUAGCCCUUACGUUGACUCAGGCCACCUAUCUCUACAACUGCACCUACAUUUGAAAUGACUCCAGCAUGUCUAACAGCAGCCUACCUAUAUUUAACACAUAUACCCAGAAAGAGAAAAGUGAAAUUUUGUAAGUGAGAAACUAAAUAGAAAUCUUCAAAAAUAUUCCUACAACAAGGGAUCUCCUCUCAAUCCCAAAUAGACAUUGGAGACCUACACAUGCAAUUAUAGCCAAGCAAGGUCAAGAAUAUCCUUCUUUUCUUAGGUUAGAAAAUAAAGCUUUUUUAAGAGCCUCUAUUACAUUUAAAAAAAAAAAAUCUUGAUUUAGUUACUCAGCAGAUUAAUAAACUUAUAAACAAAUAUUCUCUCUUAGUUAACCCACUUUUGAACAGUCGAUGUUGAAGUUUAUUUACUAAAAUGAUUUUUCAAAGACUAACUCACGUGUAACACUAUAUUAUUUUUCCUUUUUUCAUCACAUCAUACUCUCACUUGUAUUAAAAUCUAAAAGCUAGAAGCAGGGUAGGUAAUUUUUAAAAACAAAAUAUGAAACAUAAUGACUAUGGUAAGCAUUAUGGCAUUUUCAUAUGCAUAUAUUUUCAAUACUUUGCAAAAAGUCUUAGAGCUUCCCUAGUAACUCCUGAGUCAUAUAUUUUAUUUUUUCCUUGAAGAUGGAAACAAGCAGUCUCUAAACCUAAAUUCAAAAUAAAACAAAUAAAACUAUACAACAUAAUUUUUGAACCGACAACUAGACUUGAUUUAGAGAAAGCAAAAUAAAUUCUCACUGGUAUCACGAUUCUUUUGAAUUUCUUAUGAGAUUGAGCAUGAAAAUGUAUCAUGGCACAAUUUUUAAUGUUAUAAACUUUUUCUCUACUCUACAGAAAUAUAUCUUAUAAUUAUAUAUCACCGUACAGGAUUCCAAAAUAUUUUCACAUAUAUUAUCUCCUUUGAUAUAGGAAAGCACAAAAUAUUAGAAAUGCACUAGACUAAUCAAGUGAUAUAACAUCUAUCUGCCAUUAAAUGCAAGUUAGUAUUUUACCAAUAGCCAAUAUUUAUUAUCCUUGCACUCCACGGUACAACAAUAAGCACUAUAUAUUUGCAAAGAGUCAAUAAUCUUUCUAGCUAUUUGGUCAUGCUUUACUGCAUUUUUUAGAACAGCUUCUUGGUAAAUUUGUGCAAGCAUAUGGUAGUUUGUAAAAAUAUAAAACACUGGAGUCAAAGUCAUGGAAUUUUUUCAUAUAUAAGACACACAUAAAUACAUAUCUAUAGAUCUUAUUUAAAAAACUAUUAAAUGUACAAAUUAUUCUUGAUAGAAAAAAAUUCUGGACACUCGAUUUUUAUCUUCAAAAAGGAAUGACACCUCUGACUUGUCCUCCACUGAUUCUUUCUUAUUUAAAGAUUAAAUUUAGGAACAUAUUGUUAACAUGUGACUAUACAUUUUAAAACACCAUUGUGGAAAAAGGCCACUAUUUAAUAUGAAAGCCAGGCAGCUUUCCCCUGGAGACUAAAUAUUCUCAAAUUAAAUAGUAUACACUAAUCAAAGCCGCUACUUAAGAAUAAUAAGGAAAGGAAAACAAAAAAAGAAAGUAGUGACUAAUUCUCACAUAAGUUGGAUUUAAUUUUGACCAAAGUACAUUAUUUGAACAAUAAUUUUUGAUUCAACCUGUUAAUAUGUUGUUUAGGAUAUUGCAUCCUCAUUUAUAAGUGAAAUAUGUUUGUAAUUUCCCUUUAUAAUAAUAUAUUUUUUCCAAUUUUAAUAUCAGGUACAUCCAGAUGAAGUAUAAUGAAUUUGAAUAUUUCUUCUUUUUCUAUUGUCUAUAAGAUUUGGCAUGAUCUGUUUUUUGAAAUUAUCUUCUAUUUUUACUUAUAAAUAUUAGUUGCCUAUUUAAAAAAAAGAAUGCAAUUGAAAUAAAGACAAAAGAAGGUCUGGAAAUAAUAAUGAAUAAAAAGAGUUGUUGAAAAAAAUAAAACUCUUAAUUAAAUCUUCAUACAUAUGUACAUAUUAUAGGUAGAUUUUACUAUGUGUAACAACUAUAUAACUCAAUAAACUGUCCUCAAAAAAAAUCAUAUUCUAAAAGUUAAAUUGUUAAAUGAAAUGUUUUUACUUUUAAGGACUCUAAUAUUAUAAUUUCUAAGUACUUCAGAUAAUCAUUUAUUUUAGUAUCUGGUAACUGUUUAUUAGUAUUUUAAUUUCUGGUCACAAAUGUUUAAUAUUUCAUAUUUAGAAAGUGGCCUGGUCUGAACACUUUAUUAUGAAUGGCAAAUUGGUAAGAUGGUUUGAAUUAAACUAACUGCAUUCCUACAAUUCCGUCUAAUUUGACAAUCUAUUUUCCUCCACCCUGUAAAACUGUUCAUUGAGCUCUAUGGGAACACUGCUAGACCAAGCACCGCGUAAGAGGGGCCCUGUGUUUCUUACAUGUAAAGUAGAAAUUGAAAUGCAAAAUCAGAUUAAU